GGAUGCGUUCAUACCAGCACUAAUGCACCGGAUCCCAUCAGAACUCCGGAGUUAAGCGUGCUUAGGCGAGAGUAGUACUAUGAUGGGUGACCUCUCGGGAAGUCUUCGUGUUGCAUCCC
rnacentral:rRNA from 1 species